rnacentral:rRNA from 1 species
CGGCGUGCUUAACACAUCGCAAGUUCGAACGAGGAAAGCGGUGCCUCGCACCGUGGAAUCAUCGGCGAAACGGGUGAGUAAUACGUGAGUCGACCUACCUUUCGACUUCUGGGAUAAGCCUGGGAAACUGGGUCUAAUACCGGAUACGACCAAUCUCUGCAUCGGGGUCGUUCGGUCGGAAAGCGUUAUGGAGUCGGUUUUAGAUGGGCUCACGGCCUAUCAGCUUCGUUUGGUGAGGUAAUGGCUUACCAAGGCGACGACGGGUAGCCGGCCUGAGAGGGUGACCGGCCACACUGGGACUGAGACACGGCCCAGACUCCUACGGGAGGCAGCAGUGGGGAAUAUUGCACAAUGGGCGCAAGCCUGAUGCAGCGACGCCGCGUGAGGGAUGACGGCCUUCGGGUUUGUAAACCUCUGUUAGCAUCGAAGAAGCGAAAGUGACGGUAGGUGCAGAGAAAGCGCCGGCUAACUACGUGCCAGCAGCCGCGGUAAUACGUAGGGCGCGAGCGUUGUCCGGAAUUAUUGGGCGUAAAGAGCUUGUAGGGCGGUUGGUCGCGUCUGCUGUGAAAGGCCGGGGCUUAACUCCGGUUUUGCAGUGGGUACGGGCUAACUAGAGUGCAGUAGGGGAGACUGGAAUUCCUGGUGUAGCGGUGGAAUGCACAGAUAUCAGGAGGAACACCGAUGGCGAAGGCAGGUCUCUGGGCUGUAACUGACGCUGAGAAGCGAAAGCAUGGGGAGCGAACAGGAUUAGAUACCCUGGUAGUCCAUGCCGUAAACGUUGGGCACUAGGUGUGGGGGACAUUCCACGUUUUCCGCGCCGUAGCUAACGCAUUAAGUGCCCCGCCUGGGGAGUACGGCCGCAAGGCUAAAACUCAAAGGAAUUGACGGGGGCCCGCACAAGCGGCGGAGCAUGCGGAUUAAUUCGAUGCAACGCGAAGAACCUUACCAAGGCUUGACAUGCAUUAGAUCGCGUCAGAGAUGGCGUUUCCCUUCGGGGCUGGUGUACAGGUGGUGCAUGGUUGUCGUCAGCUCGUGUCGUGAGAUGUUGGGUUAAGUCCCGCAACGAGCGCAACCCUCGUUCUAUGUUGCCAGCGGUUCGGCCGGGGACUCAUAGGAGACUGCCGGGGUCAACUCGGAGGAAGGUGGGGAUGACGUCAAAUCAUCAUGCCCCUUAUGUCUUGGGCUUCACGCAUGCUACAAUGGCCGGUACAGAGGGUUGCGAUACUGUGAGGUGGAGCUAAUCCCUUAAAGCCGGUCUCAGUUCGGAUUGGGGUCUGCAACUCGACCCCAUGAAGUCGGAGUCGCUAGUAAUCGCAGAUCAGCAACGCUGCGGUGAAUACGUUCCCGGGCCUUGUACACACCGCCCGUCA